rnacentral:lncRNA from 1 species
CUCACUCAUACCACAAGAACAGCAGCAUGGGGGUAACUGACCCCAUGAUUAAAUUAACCCCCACCAGGUCCCUCCCAUGACACAUGGGGAUUACAGGAACUACAAUUCAAGCUUUAGAUUUAGUGGGGGACUCAGUGAAACCACAUCACCUCUUUCAAGCCUUUCACUCAUAUGCUACUCACGUGCUGCUGAUCACUCAUUUGGCUAUCAG